rnacentral:rRNA from 2 species
ACUGAUUGAUGGUGCUUGCACCUGAUUGACGAUGGAUCACCAGUGAGUGGCGGACGGGUGAGUAACACGUAGGUAACCUGCCCCGGAGCGGGGGAUAACAUUUGGAAACAGAUGCUAAUACCGCAUAACAACAAAAGCCACAUGGCUUUUGUUUGAAAGAUGGCUUUGGCUAUCACUCUGGGAUGGACCUGCGGUGCAUUAGCUAGUUGGUAAGGUAACGGCUUACCAAGGCGAUGAUGCAUAGCCGAGUUGAGAGACUGAUCGGCCACAAUGGAACUGAGACACGGUCCAUACUCCUACGGGAGGCAGCAGUAGGGAAUCUUCCACAAUGGGCGCAAGCCUGAUG